rnacentral:lncRNA from 1 species
AGGACUUUAUGUCGAUGCAUAAGAGAAAAGAAACCCAAAAAAGAAAAGAGCACAAAGAAAAUAAAAAAAGAAAGAAAAAACAAAGAGAAGAGAAAGAAUGAAAGUUAUAAAAAAAUAGAAAAAAAAAAUUUCGUAUAGAACCUUAAUUUCUUGUAUUAUUUCAUGGUAGAUCCUCAUUCCGUAUUUCUUUCAAGCGGCAUAAAAAAACUAAAGAAAAGAGAGUUAAAAAAGUUUUGGAGAUAAAAUGGUAUAAAAAGAUUUGAUGGGGUUAAUUUUUAUGGUCAAAACUCAG